GAUGAACGCUGGCGGCGUGCCUAAUACAUGCAAGUCGAGCGAACAGACGAGGAGCUUGCUCCUCUGACGUUAGCGGCGGACGGGUGAGUAACACGUGGAUAACCUACCUAUAAGACUGGGAUAACUUCGGGAAACCGGAGCUAAUACCGGAUAAUAUAUUGAACCGCAUGGUUCAAUAGUGAAAGACGGUUUUGCUGGCACUUAUAGAUGGAUCCGCGCCGCAUUAGCUAGUUGGUAAGGUAACGGCUUACCAAGGCAACGAUGCGUAGCCGACCUGAGAGGGUGAUCGGCCACACUGGAACUGAAACACGGUCCAGACUCCUACGGGAGGCAGCAGUAGGGAAUCUUCCGCAAUGGGCGAAAGCCUGACGGAGCAACGCCGCGUGAGUGAUGAAGGUCUUCGGAUCGUAAAACUCUGUUAUUAGGGAAGAACAAAUGUGUAAGUAACUAUGCACGUCUUGACGGUACCUAAUCAGAAAGCCACGGCUAACUACGUG
rnacentral:rRNA from 1 species